rnacentral:lncRNA from 1 species
UAAUAAUAGUUGAAUCGAACGGGUUCUGGGGCUUGCCAGCCGCGAGACCGUGGAGCGGUCAGCGUCCCACGUGAGUGGGGGCGGGGCAGCGCCCGGAAGAGAGCGAGCUGGAGCAGCCUCAGGCACGGGUUCCGGAUGGACUCGGGGUCUUGAGAUUGGGUUGGCACGGAUAGGAAUUUAAUAAAAUCGGUGCUCUUAUGAUA